rnacentral:rRNA from 1 species
UCUGGAAACCAUAGAGCUGUGGCACCACCUGAUCCCAUUCCGAACUCAGAAGUGAAACACAGUAUCGCCGAUGGUAGUGUGGGGUCUCCC